GAUGAAGAACGCAGCGAAAUGCGAUAAGUAAUGUGAAUUGCAGAAUUCAGUGAAUCAUCGAGUCUUUGAACGCACAUUGCGCCCCCUGGUAUUCCGGGGGGCAUACCUGUCCGAGCGUCAUUGCUGCCCUCAAGCACGGCUUGUGUGUUGGGCCCCCGUCCCCGGUUCCCCCCGGGGACGGGCCCGAAAGGCAGCGGCGGCACCGCGUCCGAUCCUCGAGCGUAUGGGGCUUUGUCACCCGCUCUGUAGGCCCGGCCGGCGCCAGCCGACACCCCAACUUUAUUUUCUAAGGUUGACCUCGGAUCAGGUAGGGAUACCCGCUGAACUUAAGCAUAUCAAUAAGCGGAGGA
rnacentral:misc_RNA from 1 species